rnacentral:rRNA from 1 species
GGGUUGUGAGGUUAAGCGACUAAGCGUACACGGUGGAUGCCCUGGCAGUCAGAGGCGAUGAAGGACGUGCUAAUCUGCGAUAAGCGCCGGUAAGGUGAUAUGAACCGUUAUAACCGGCGAUUUCCGAAUGGGGAAACCCAGUGUGACUCGUCACACUAUCAUUAACUGAAUCCAUAGGUUAAUGAGGCGAACCGGGGGAACUGAAACAUCUAAGUACCCCGAGGAAAAGAAAUCAACCGAGAUUCCCCCAGUAGCGGCGAGCGAACGGGGAGGAGCCCAGAGCCUGAAUCAGCAUGUGUGUUAGUGGAAGCGUCUGGAAAGGCGCGCGAUACAGGGUGACAGCCCCGUACACAAAAGCGCAUGUGCUGUGAGCUCGAUGAGUAGGGCGGGACACGUGGUAUCCUGUCUGAAUAUGGGGGGACCAUCCUCCAAGGCUAAAUACUCCUGACUGACCGAUAGUGAACCAGUACCGUGAGGGAAAGGCGAAAAGAACCCCGGCGAGGGGAGUGAAAAAGAACCUGAAACCGUGUACGUACAAGCAGUGGGAGCACCCUUUUGGGUGUGACUGCGUACCUUUUGUAUAAUGGGUCAGCGACUUAUAUUCUGUAGCAAGGUUAACCGAAUAGGGGAGCCG